CCAUCGAGUCCACGGGGACCCCAUGGAAGGCUCAGAGAGCUGUGGGCUGAGGAGCUGGAUUUUCAUACUUCUGAAGGUCUCCUGGGAUGUCAUUCUCCCUCUCUGUGCUCUCACAAGCGAAGGCUGAGGAUCCAGCAUUUCAAUAAACUCCUAUUUCCUUCCUCCCUUCAAA